rnacentral:rRNA from 1 species
GACGAACGCUGGCGGCGUGCUUAAUACAUGCAAGUCGAGCGGACGGGCCCUGCUUUUGCGUGGUUCUCGUUUGGCGAACGGGUGUGUAACACGUGUGUAUCCCGCCCCUGACUUUGUGAUAACUCUAGGAAACUGGGGCGAUAACCCCGUAUGAGCUUUUGAUCCACGUUGUGGGUUGGUAAGAUUCGGCGGUUGGGGCUGUUCUCGCUGCUUAUCCGCUUGUUUGUGUGGUUGUUGCUUUCCAGGCCUAUGACGGAUAGCCGGCCUGGGAGGGUGACCGGCCACCUUGGGACUGCGAUACGGACCAGAAUCCUACGGGAGGCAGCGGUGGGGAGUAUUACACAAUGGCCGGAAGCCUGAUGCGGCAACGCCGCGUGCGGGAUGACGGCCUACGGGUUGAGAACCGCUUUCGAAUGUGACGAAGCGUGCGUGACGGUAAUGGGUAAAGAAGCACCGGCUAACUACGUG